ACUCCUACGGGAGGCAGCAGUGGGGAAUUUUGGACAAUGGGGGCAACCCUGAUCCAGCCAUGCCGCGUGAGUGAAGAAGGCCUUCGGUUGUAAAGCUCUUUCAGCCGGGAAGAAAUCGCAUAGGCUAAUAUCCCGUCGCGGAUGACGGUACCGGAAUAAGAAGCACCGGCUAACUACGUGCCAGCAGCCGCGGUAAUACGUAGGUGCGAGCGUUAAUCGGAAUUACUGGGCGUAAAGCGUGCGCAGGCGGUUUUUAAGAUAGGCGUGAAAUCCCCGGGCUUAACCUGGGAACUGCGCUUAUGACUGGAAGACUAGAUACGGCAGAGGGGUGGAAUUCCACGUGUAGCAGUGAAAUGCGUAGAGAUGUGGAGGAACACCGAUGGCGAAGGCAGCCCCCCUGGGCCGAUACUGACGCUCAU
rnacentral:rRNA from 1 species